rnacentral:rRNA from 1 species
AACGAACGCUGGCGGCAGGCUUAACACAUGCAAGUCGAACGCCCCGCAAGGGGAGUGGCAGACGGGUGAGUAACGCGUGGGAACAUACCCUUUCCUGCGGAAUAGCUCCGGGAAACUGGAAUUAAUACCGCAUACGCCCUACGGGGGCAAGAUUUAUCGGGGAAGGAUUGGCCCGCGUUGGAUUAGCUAGUUGGUGGGGUAAAGGCCUACCAAGGCGACGAUCCAUAGCUGGGCUGAGAGGAUGUUCAGCCACAUUGGGACUGAGACACGGCCCAUACUCCUACGGGAGGCAGCGGUGGGGAAUAUUGGACAAUGGGGGCAGGCCUGAUCCAGCCAUGCCGCGUGAGUGAUGAAGGCCUUAGGGUUGUAAAGCUCUUUCACCGAUGAAGAUAAUGACGGUAGUCGGAGAAGAAGCCCCGGCUAACUUCGUGCCUGCCGCCGCCGUAACAC